rnacentral:rRNA from 1 species
GCAGUCGAGCGGAACGAGUUAUCUGAACCUUCGGGGAACGAUAACGGCGUCGAGCGGCGGACGGGUGAGUAAUGCCUAGGAAAUUGCCCUGAUGUGGGGGAUAACCAUUGGAAACGAUGGCUAAUACCGCAUGAUGCCUACGGGCCAAAGAGGGGGACCUUCGGGCCUCUCGCGUCAGGAUAUGCCUAGGUGGGAUUAGCUAGUUGGUGAGGUAAGGGCUCACCAAGGCGACGAUCCCUAGCUGGUCUGAGAGGAUGAUCAGCCACACUGGAACUGAGACACGGUCCAGACUCCUACGGGAGGCAGCAGUGGGGAAUAUUGCACAAUGGGCGCAAGCCUGAUGCAGCCAUGCCGCGUGUGUGAAGAAGGCCUUCGGGUUGUAAAGCACUUUCAGUCGUGAGGAAGGUGGUGUAGUUAAUAGCUGCAUCAUUUGACGUUAGCGACAGAAGAAGCACCGGCUAACUCCGUGCCAGCAGCCGCGGUAAUACGGAGGGUGCGAGCGUUAAUCGGAAUUACUGGGCGUAAAGCGCAUGCAGGUGGUUUGUUAAGUCAGAUGUGAAAGCCCGGGGCUCAACCUCGGAAUAGCAUUUGAAACUGGCAGACUAGAGUACUGUAGAGGGGGGUAGAAUUUCAGGUGUAGCGGUGAAAUGCGUAGAGAUCUGAAGGAAUACCGGUGGCGAAGGCGGCCCCCUGGACAGAUACUGACACUCAGAUGCGAAAGCGUGGGGAGCAAACAGGAUUAGAUACCCUGGUAGUCCACGCCGUAAACGAUGUCUACUUGGAGGUUGUGGCCUUGAGCCGUGGCUUUCGGAGCUAACGCGUUAAGUAGACCGCCUGGGGAGUACGGUCGCAAGAUUAAAACUCAAAUGAAUUGACGGGGGCCCGCACAAGCGGUGGAGCAUGUGGUUUAAUUCGAUGCAACGCGAAGAACCUUACCUACUCUUGACAUCCAGAGAACUUUCCAGAGAUGGAUUGGUGCCUUCGGGAACUCUGAGACAGGUGCUGCAUGGCUGUCGUCAGCUCGUGUUGUGAAAUGUUGGGUUAAGUCCCGCAACGAGCGCAACCCUUAUCCUUGUUUGCCAGCGAGUAAUGUCGGGAACUCCAGGGAGACUGCCGGUGAUAAACCGGAAGAAGGUGGGGACGACGUCAAGUCAUCAUGGCCCUUA